rnacentral:piRNA from 1 species
ACCACGGAAAAAAGCUUUGAUGAAGACAAC